GAAUUGUCCCAAAUUGGGGCAAAGAGUCCUUUAUACACUCUUAUAUUGACUAAUCAUUGGAUGCAAUCUGUCUGCAGGAAGAACAGUGACCUUCAGUGAUGUGACAGCCACAGGCAAUGCUCAGGCAGGGGACUCUGACCACAAGCUGUAAAUCAACAACAUUUCCAGAAGUUGAGAGGAGUGCUAUAGUUCUGAAGGGAGACUAUGGGUUUCACAGAUUUUAUUUUCUAUCUGAGAAAUUCAUUUGGAGUUUCCUUAGAGGAUACAAGGAAAAUAUGCUAUUCUAUGUACACUAAGGAAGAGAAAUAAGUCGGGGAAAAGCAGCAGCAAAGUUGGACAUCUGGAGCUCUAGCUCAGGCCACGCUUGGUGUUCCUGGCUGAGUGAGUGAUGAUACAGGUGGGGAGGAUACUUUGGAAAGUCGAUCAAAUAAUUUAAAGUUGAUCAGAGAAUUCCCUGGUGCCAAAUGAAACCACUCCACACUGGCUUAUGGAAGAAAAGGCCAUCAUUUCCUGAGUAAAAGGAAUAUUCACUUAACAUGAUGAAAAGAACAUUAAUUUUAAUAAUUCGCUGAACAACCUUUAAUGCACUGUGACUACCAGGUAUCAAAAGAAAUCCAAAUAGCCUGUCAUCUCAAAAUAGAUAUUUAUGCAAAGUAAAGAAGGGACUUCUCACAGAAGUAAGAACCCUGCUCUGCAUCACAGACAUCUCACAGUGUUUAAUGAAAUAUAUGCAUGACAACUAUUGGCCAAAUGGAAAUAUGUCACAUUGUUUCCCAAA